UCCAUUCUUUCCUACUCCUCUGCUCCCUUAAGUCUUAACCCAACAACCAUCCGCUAUCUUGCGCCACCUUGGUUCAUUACCUUCCAGAUUUCCAAAACGACUCUGCUUCUGUUAUCUUCUCCGACGCGUUUCACACUCUGCAACUCCUCUCUUGUCACAAAGGAUUUCUAAGGCAGAGCUAUAAGAAAUUCCUGUGAUCCUUCAAAGGCGUGGUUAGUUUCAGGGAAGAUUUGGUCAGCUCGGAUCUCUGGUUCGGUAUAUGAGAGAAAUCUUAGUUGAAAUCGGUUAUCAUUCUCUGGUAAGAGGAAGCGACCUGUAGCUUUCUGAGCUAUUGGGACCAUGGAGGCUGCAACCGCCACGACCUUGCAGUUUCCUGCAUGGACUGGUCGGGAGAAGAUCGGAAGAAAAACAAAUGGUUUCUUCCGGUUAUCUCAUAAUUGCGGGGAGGACAUGGGCAUUCGUAUGCUUAAGUCAAGGGAUUUGCAAUGGAGGAGUGCUUCUGCUCGGCCUCAAAUUCUUGUUUCUUAUAAGAAUUCUCCUGCUUCGGAAUUGGAAUCAGGAAAGGUUUCUACGCCCUUUGAUGAAGCUUUGAUUUUAAAGAAGAAGGCACAGGAGGUUGGCCCACAAUUAGAUGGGCGUUGCAUUUAUCUUGUUGGAAUGAUGGGCUCUGGUAAAACAACAGUUGGGAAGAUUAUAUCAGAAGUGUUGGGUUAUUCUUUCUUUGACAGUGACAAAUUGGUGGAGGAGGCUGUGGGUGUAACAUCUGUGGCACAGAUCUUUAAGCAGUAUAGUGAGAGUUUCUUUAGAGAUAAUGAGACUGAAGUAUUACGGAAGUUGUCUUUGAUGCGCCAGCUAGUUAUUGCCACUGGUGGUGGUGUAGUGAUUCGGCCAAUCAAUUGGAAAUAUAUGAAACAGGGUGUCACAGUCUGGUUAGACGUGCCUUUGGAAGCGUUGGCAAGGCGUAUUGCUGCUGUAGGGACAGAUUCUCGCCCUCUUUUGCAUGGAGAAUCGGGUGAUGCUUAUUCAAAGGCAUUAUUGCGACUCUCAACACUUUUCAAAGAGAGGGGUGAAGCGUAUGACAAUGCUGAUGCCAAAGUUUCGCUCCCGCAUAUUGCAGCCAAGCUGGGACUUGAUGAUGCAUGUGAUCUCACACCAACUGCUAUUGCUAUAGAGGUCAAAUGAAAGCUGAGAGGACAUCUAGAUCAAUCUCAUUUUAUUGACCUGGGCAGCGUGCAAAUUUUCACUCAUGGAUAGGCACUUGUACAAAUCGAGAAUUUUGUAAAGCGUGAUGAUGAUAUGACUAUUGCAAGGAAUCCAUAGCUCUCCCUCUGGUUUUAGCUCCACUUUGUUGUUGUAAUCCUUUAUGCCCUAUGUACAGAUGGAUCAGAUAUUUCAGCCUACUUGUAUCAUCUUUUCUCUUUUAUUUUUGGGAAGUGAAUUAGCCUAUAUAAUAUUUAUCUACAGAAACGAUUAAUGUACCCGUACAUAAAAAAUGCAAAUCCCCAUUAACCAA